GACGAACGCUGGCGGCGUGCUUAACACAUGCAAGUCGAGCGGUAAGGCCCUUUCGGGGGUACGACGAGCGGCGAACGGGUGAGUAACACGUGGGUGACCUGCCCUCAGCUCUGGGAUAAGCCUGGGAAACCGGGUCUAAUACCGGAUAUGACUCCAUGACGCAUGUUGUGGGGUGGAAAGCCUUGUGCGGCUGAGGAUGGGCCCGCGGCCUAUCAGCUUGUUGGUGGGGNGAUGGCCUACCAAGGCGACGACGGGUAGCCGGCCUGAGAGGGCGACCGGCCACACUGGGACUGAGACACGGCCCAGACUCCUACGGGAGGCAGCAGUGGGGAAUCUUGCGCAAUGGGCGAAAGCCUGACGCAGCGACGCCGUGUGAGGGAUGACGGCCUGGUGUAAC
rnacentral:rRNA from 1 species